UUUCUUUACCUGUAAAAUGGAGCCCAUCGUAUUCAUGUCGUGGAUGGUUGGGUGACGGUGCAUUAUGCAAAGUGCCAUUAAGUGCAAAGUAAGUGCUCAGCGAAAGCGGCUGUAAAGAUCGACUAUGCAGGGGACAAGGGUGACACACAGACCCCGACACUGGUGGAGGCAGUGUGAGCUUGCCUUGAGAGGUGGAAUGUCUGAGGUUCAUCAGUCCGCAGGCCAUUACCAGGGCCUGUGUGCCAGGCUCUGCUCUGUGCUCUGGAUUCAGCUGUGAGAGCAGAGAUGGUCUCUGCGUUCAGUAUGUAGCCUGCCAGCAGACCCUAAUAGCUGAGACAUAGCUACAGAGUAGGACCACUUCAGAGCACAGAGGAAGGUGCCCCACUCCACCCCUGGCUUCUCAGAAGAAGGCGAUUUCAUCAGGCAAAGAUGAGGCGCAUCUGGGCAUUUCCUGCUACAGAAUGUUGAAUUUAAGAGAGUGAAGUCAUGGCUAUUGUGGAACUAAAAGCACCUACUGGAGUCCAGCAUGCAGAAGGGAACAGGGCACUGAGCUCUGCCUGCAAGGGGAUCACCACAAAUGGACGCCAGACAUGUUCUUUGCUCCCACACCCUCAGGGUCCCAGAACAUGGACAAAGGGGACACAGAAACAGGCAAAGGCCCUUAAGCCUCACACAGACCAUGUUUGGACCUGUUAUGAUGAUAAUGACAGUGACCUUGAACUGACUGUUUGAUGUGCAUGAACUCAAAGUGGAGCUUGUCUAGGGAAGCGAUGGGGGCCAAAGGGUCAUGGCAGGAAGGGACUUGGACGAGCCAAGCUACUGUUGCUGAUGGUGAGCGGGGGACUGGCUUUGAGAGGGGCCAAGAUUUGGAGGCCAACACUGAUUGAUUUCACAUCUGGGGGGGGUGUCUUUUCCUCAGGGGUAAUGAAGCCUUGGGAUCUGAUGAGAUGGCUUCCAUAUACUGACCUGGCUGCCUAUGUUGAAUCCCAGCUGUCUCACGCUCUUUUCUCCAGGACCAGCUGGGUGGGGAGUGAGGGAGCUGGAGAGAGAGGCAGGCUGGUCUGGGAGCAAGCGUACAUAUAGACUGUGAUGGCAGAGAUCUGAGUUCAAAUCUUACCCUUCAGGAACACAGUAGAGUCUACUGAGUCGGCUGGAGGUGAUUUCUAAGCUAUGGCCAUCUUUUUCCAGCUGGAUUUCAUUCUAUCCCGCCCCGUGGCCUGAAGUAGAACUAACUACUACGAGGAUGGCUGGGAGCGGAAGGGAACAGGGUGCUACCAGGUGGGCUGUGUGACAAGCAGAGGCUUUGAGCAGGUAAUGGCUGUCAGAGACCAGCAAAUCGCAGGUGUCUUGAGAACAACAAGAGUUACCCUCAGACACCAAAGAACAAACACGCAGCACAGGAUGCUUUGCCGAAGCCGAGCUGUUUUGAUCGUUCCCGGAUGUGACACGCGUCACAUGAGAAAGGCGAGCCUCUUGCACAGAAACUCCCUAAUUGAUAGCUGGUGGUUCCAGGAAGAGCGGGUCUGAGUUUGAAGGGGCUGGGUCCAGAGCAGCCCCCUCACACUGCCCAUCUCCCCCUUGGCCCCUGGGCAAGCCUUCAUCAACCCAGGCACUCAGAGUGGCACGGGGGUAUGGGGUGAGGGAGGCUCACUACUCCAGAUGCCCUGAGGUCCAGCCUCAGUCUCCACCUUUCCAGGCCCUUUCUUUCUGCCUCAUUCCUGGAACCCGGGCUGUGUGCCAAUCUAAUUGAGCUUCUUGACUCGGCCAAAUGCGCCAGGCUCUGUCUGGCCUUCAGGCCUUUGCUGUCUUCUCUGCCUUGGGUCCCUCUCCUGUUCUCCCUCCCAUCCACCUGGCCAGCAAUGGCAACUUCGACUUAAUAACAAAUAUCAUAGCAGCUUAUCUUUAUUGAGCGCUUACUCUGGGCUAAGUGCUGCCCAAAUGUUUUCCCGUAUCUAAGUCUUACGACUUAUAAGGAAAAAACAGUGACAGUUGACACAUCAUACAUUCUACUGUUGACCAGGAACUGUUCUAAGAACAUCAUGUGAAUUAACUCAGUCCUUACAGCCCCAUGACGGGAAAGUUGGCAUCAUUAUUCUGAUUUCACAUGUAAGGAAACCGAGUCACGAAGAGGCCAAGCAGCUUGUCCAAAGUCACCAGCUCAAAGGAGCAGAGUUCACACUGCAGUUUGACCCAGAGUUGAAGUUUGACAUGGCCAUCUCAUCGGCCUCUACUACCACCUCCCUCUACAGCUGUGGAUGAGGGCCUCUACCGACGUCUUGUGGAGAUCAUUCGUGUAUCCUCUGGGCCUGAAAUGCCUGACAUCGGGGACAGGCUAGCCCAGCAUUUCAGUUUCAAAUCCUAGCCCAGCACCUGGCAUGCAGCCGGGCUCAUCUGUACAGACAGCCAGUCUGAAUCCUGCAGGAGUAGUCUUCCUCUGGGUUUCCCCGUUCAAUCACAGGACUACAAAACGAAAAAAAAAAGAUGCAAUUGCAUAAAAUCUAGGUUCUCAUUUUUGCAUAUAUCUGAGUUUUGUUGUUAUUUUGAGACAAGAUCUCACUAUGUAUCCCUGGCUGGCCUGAAGCUCUAUCUUCCAAGUUAUGGGAUUAGAGUCAUAUAUCACCAUACACGGCUUGGGCUUUUUUUUAAUUUUUUUUGGUGGGUUUUUGCUGUUGUUGUCUUUUUGAUGCACCCGUCUGAAUUGAUAAAGAACGUGCAGAUGGUAAAACUUUUGCAGAAUGAGAUCAAUCCUAUAGCAAAAUGAGGACGCGCCAGGGUGCAGGCAGCCACUUCCUGGCACUCCUGCCCCCUUUUGAGAUACGGGACUGGGUGCAGAACAGGAGCCCUGCAGCAACUCUCCAUUAUGGCAGAUCUGAACUUAGGGUUCUUGUGAGAACAUUCAGAGGGGUGUCACCAUAUUUAUUCUCUGCCCAACCUUGGCCACACGUUCAAAGGGUUAAAUUUCUGUCAGAGGACCUGGGAGCCAGAGGAGACGGAAGAGUGUGGUGGGCUCUGGUCUCCUUCCAAACACGGUUUCUGUGCUUAAACCACCACACUUUCGCUUCUUGAGCAAGCUCCUUUCUGGUUUGCUUUGUUUUGUGUUCUUGAGACAGAGUCUUGCUAUGUAACCUUGGCUGGCCCAGAACUCCCUACAUAACCCUAACUUGCAGCAAUCCUCCUGCCUCUGCCUUCAGAUUGCUGGGAUCACAAACGUGAGCCACCGUGCUUCAGCUUAAUUAAACUCUUCCCCCAGAGUUGAUUUCCCCCCUGCCAAACUCGGAGUUGUGGGCUAAUGCCAAAAGAAUGGGGAGCUCCAGCCGGAAGUGAGGGCCUGGCCCAGAAAGGGCCACUGUGCUCUCUCUACCGCUCUGGAAGAGGUGGUCUCCGGCUGGCCCAUCCCCUGUGGUUCUAACGAGCAGGCAGGAGCCUCAGCCUGCAGCUCACCCUGUGAGCCAGUGACAGCUGGGGGUGAGGUUCUGACAGCCUUCACGGCCGCCGCCGCACCGCUGCCCCGCCCCCCAGGUGCACAGCCUGCCCGCUCAGGCUGGGAGGUGUGAGUGCCUUCCUUUCCUCACCAAUAAAAUGUAGAUAAUGAUAAUACCUUCCUCCCAGGCCUGCAGUGAAGAUCAGAUGAGAGGACGUGGGGAAAAGCGACUUACAUGCUAUAAAAGACUCUGACAAAUGCUCAUUAUUUCUUCCUAUUCUUCUCCUGGAAUUUAUCAAACACUUUAUGAGCCCUGGAGGUGUUUUUUUUUCUUUUUCUUUUUCAUCCCUUCUAUCUUGCAUGGAUUUCUCUGGGCCACAAUUCUCCUGUCCUUUCCUGCUGUACCAUAGAGAAGCAGGGGUAGUGCAGUGGUUAGGGAGCCACAGGCUGGCAUGAGUUUGAAUCCUGGCUCGAUAUCUUUCUAGGCCCGAUGCAGGACUAGGAACACAACCUCUGUGAGCUCUGUUAGCUUUCCCCUGUAUAAAAUGGGUAUAAAAAUUGAGCUUAAGCAUAGAGUUGAUAGGAGGACUGAGAUGAUUUGUGUAAAACUCAGUACUGUGCCUGCAACAAGUUCAGGCAACGCCUGCUGUACUGUGCUGUCAGGUACUCUCUCCGGCGGGCAUGGCUACCCUCUUUGAGUGGUAGGACCAGUGAAAAUAGACCUUGGACACGAUUUUCACAGACUUCCUUGUCUUCACGGGCAGAAAGGGGUAUAUUCAUUCAUGCAGCAAAUCCUUUCUGAGUAUCUUCUUGGUGCUGGGUACUCCUGGGGCAAUAGGAAGUCUAGCUUGUAGUCCCUUGCACUAGGGGAUCCCACAUUGCAGUGGGGCAAAUAUUCAUUCAUUCAUUCAUUCAUUUAUUCAGUGCUCAAUUCUCAUCCAUUUGCAGGGUCUAUAAAGCUCUGUGCUGGCCUUUGAAAUAGAAAUCUGGGGGUGGGGCAGGGAAGGAAAGAAGCAAGAUCUGGUUAAGGUCCCUUGAAGCCUCGGCUCUCCAGGACAUGUCUUCCUACUUCCUGUCGCUUGGCCUCAGUCUCCCCGUUUGUAUGCUAAGGGGUCACUCAAGCUGAUCCCCAGUCUCCUGGCCCACACCAACAUUCCAGGUUUCUGAGCCAGGACGGACAAAUGACGAGUGACACCCCGUCUCUGCUCCCGGCCCACACGCUCACUUGGGUCUUGGGCAUCGAUCGGCUAGGAGCUCAUUAGUGGCCGCACAGCCGUCGCCGCAUGUCACAGGCUCUUAAAGUCUCCAUUACUGAGGGACCUCACUCCUCUGUAUUUUUAGCCUGCAUCUGGAGGAGAUGGCUGGCAUCUCCUGCAGUUAUACACAUUAGGUUCAGUGCUUUCGACAGCUUCUCAGGCCUCUGGGCACCUGGAUGGAGGUGGGGGCCCCAGAUCUGCUCCUGGAAAAAAAAAUAGUGGGAGGUAGGGAGUCAGGGGUCCUUUCCUCUCCCAUAAAACCCCAGCCUACCCCUAUAGGACCACCUUCCAUAUAGGACAGAGUCGAGAUGACUGCCACACUUCCAGGACACUGACAGCUCCUUGGAUACACAAGAACGAGGGCAGGUGAUGCCCACUUAGGAAUAAAACCCAGGCCAGUAGGAUGUCCCCAAGGAUCAGCCACCAUCUCUAGUUACAGACAGGUAAAGCGAAGCUUGCUGAAGCCACCCAGCAUGCCGUCAUGUCUCACAGUCAGAUCAGGGUUCUGUCUGCCUGUGGGGGACUGAGCCGGCCUGAGUAGCUACCCGGCCCCGAGAGCUCUGGGCCCUCUUUCAUUAUGUAAGGACUGCAUUUCCCAGACCCCAGAGGGCAGGAAAGGAUGCUUUGCAGGCAAUGACUCAGAGAGUAGUGGGACUUGUGAGAAACAGAGCAUCACUUGCUUGGGAAGCUAGGGAGGUUAGGAGGGACCAUGAGGAGGAGAUCCCUCCUUCAGUAGAGGAGGGGCCAGUCCCCAGCCUGAGAUAGGAACAGAGCUGUGACCAUGUCGAGCCUGGACUUCAGGAAGAACACAGACUCUGACUCUGUCAGACACUAGAUACAUCCCUCCGACGCGCGCGCGCAUUCACACACACACACACACACACACACACACACACACACACACACACUAGCCAUGAAAUCAACUCACUGGCAAAAUAAGAUGACAAGAUAACAGUAUCGGAUUUUUCUGCCCCAACCCCAGUGUACCAGAUACGUGCCUUGUGUUUCCUUGCCAGAGUAGUGAUCUUCCUGUGAAGGUGGGAGCUCUGGUGGCCAUUCUUGUCUUACAGAUGAAGGAAGUGGAGCUCAGAGAGACCAAGCAAGUCACCCAUGCUCACACAGCUGAAAAGCACCAGAGUUUCUAUCCAGAGGGCCAGCGAAUCCUUUGCUGUACCAAAGCCAAGGAAAUAAAUAAACAAACAUCACUGAGGAGCUCUGCUUAGAACAAGAGCUUCCUGUCACAGAGAGGACAACGCAGCCCAAGAAGCAGCCGUCACAAACAUGUAGCUGUUGUGGGGAUGUACUGUAGGAGUGCCCACUGCAUGCCAGGGGCAGCCUGCCAUGGACAGCAUUUUCUUCUCAGCACCCCAGCCAGGCCCAUUUAUGUCUGUCCCCACAGCCAGCGCUGGUGCAUCGUGGGCCUAGGGCUCUAUUAACUUCUCUGUAGUAGAAGCAGCUGGAACAUAGCCCACCAAAUAUCCACAGGGCCCCCAGCUGGACUCCUGAGCCUUGAGCUAGGUGCCUCUUCACUGGCGGGACCCAAGACUCUGUCCAUGGUGCUAACCCUCACCCCACGCCUUGCCUCAACCCUGCACUCCUGACCACCAACUCCAACAUCUCUGAAGACCUCCUCAUCUCGGGGAUGAAUUCUGAGCUCAUGUUCUGGACCGCUGCCAGGAAGAAGGACGCAGCGUUAGUUGAAAGCAUCACACAAAAGGCCGCAGGGCUCUUUGGUUUCUUUCUUCUGCAGUUGGAACGGGGUGACAUACGAGAAGUUACAGAGAAAUGCUGGCUCCACCCUCUGCCAAGGGACUCAAAUCAGCAUUUGUUGACAUUUCUCAAGACACCCUCAGUGCUGGUGACAUUUCAGAGACCUGCUCUCUGACAGGGCUGGAGGAUGUGAACCUGACCCUGAAGCCUUUGCUCCAGACCCAGACCCACUGGAACAAACGUUGCCUUCCCUCCAGCACCUCCGACCAGUGCUGAAACUACCCAGGGGGCUCUGGUGCCAACUUGAAAAUGCUGACGAGGCAAGACUGGAGCAGGUGUGGGCUCAGUCCUUCCCUCACCAAGCUUCAACAUCUGCCUCUGUGGGAUGGAAGUCACCGUCCUUGCUUCCCUCAGAAUAGAGUUGUAAGCGCAUAAUGGUGAGAAAAAGGGAAGUGUUACGUCUGCUGUGUACUGUUGUCCAAGUGUGAAGUUCAGGUGGAGGUAUUAGGGGCGGGGUAGGGGUACAGUGUGGAGGAUCAGCAGGUGCACAGGCUGGUGGAACCAAUGACUCUGCCCAUUUCAUACGUUGGAGAGGGUCACUUGGUGGGUAGAGGUCAGCACAGGGAACCAGGGGGAUUCUUGGAUGCUCUUGUUGAAGCUAACAGAGAGCAACAGAGCUGUGGACCAUAUCAGAACCAGCCCAGUCUAAGGCCGGACCACCCUGAACUCGCCUGAUCUUGGGAACUAAGGAGGGUUGGGUCUAGUUAGUCCCUGGCUAGGGAAAGCAGCCUGUAUCAGGAGGGAGAGCCAACCUCGCCAGUUCCCCUCCUUCAUCUCAGGCUGGUUAGGAAGCCGAUUUGAAAGGUCGGGUCAGAGCGAUGACAAAGUGUCUAGAUUUCAGAGUCAGCAGAGCUAAUCCUGGCUCUACUGCUCGCUAGCUGUGUGGCUUUAGGCAAGUACUUCACCUUUCAGAACACUGUCUUGCUCAGUUCUGAAGAAAGGUAGUGAUGCGGCGUACCUUGCAGGCUUGUGAGGAGAAUUGGAGAGGAUGAUGCUUCAAAUUUCUUAGCAUGGACUGCCAUAGAACACACGCUGAUCUGCUUUGCCGGCCUCUACUGUUAGUGGCAUCCGCUCUCAACCGGGAAGCAGGUUGGACCUCACCAAAAACCUGCCUCACCUCAGACGGGCUUCAUCCAUAAAGAGAGAAGACCAUCUCCCUGGCAGGUGCUUGUGCAUUUGAAUAUGUGCCAAGUACCGGAUUUCUACUCAGAUUCCAAAUGUGCUGAUUAUGUGAGAUAGAUUUCCCACCUGAGUCUCAGGUUUUGCCUCUUUAAAUAUGCAGAGCAGGGGGCUGGGGUUAGGGUUUGGAGGUUAUGAGUGCUUGCUACUCUUUCAGAGGACCCAAAUUUGGUUCCCAGCACCCAUGUCAGGUGACUCACAACUGCCUGUAACUCCAGCUCCAGGGGAUUUGAUGCCCUCUUUUGGCCUCUGCUGUCACCUGCCCACACAUGUAUACACACACAUAGGCAGACACACAUAUAAAAAACAACGAGUCUUAAAUAAAUAUGAGAGUAACCAGUCAAGGAUUAUGGAUUGGUGUUAAUAGCCAUUAAGUGAAUUGCUGGUCAAGCAAACAAGUGUGUUUGGUGCCAAAGUAACACACAAACAUUAUUUCCUAGGGGGUGAGGAUGAAAUUAUAGCCACCAUGAUGUCUGCCUAAGCGUUUCUAAUGGUGAGAGAGUGAGGUGCCUGCCUCCUGCUGCCGUCCAACAGGACAUAUCAGCACUGCCUCAUACGUGUUCCAAAGGUUUGCUUUGAACUGCUUCAGCCUUUAGAUCAAUUUUCUAGUUUCCAGGAAAUGCUAGGAGAGUGUCAUAAGCCAAACAACAGUACAAGGUAAUAACUAGAUAGCUGGGAGAAGGGAUGUGUAGAGGAAGGCCGAUCUGGAUGUUCUAAUGGAUAAAUAGCCCAGAAAAAUGGACUGCAUCACGCUAAGCAAUGCUCUGCCCAGGAUGAUCAGGUACUGUCCUCCCACUGGACUCUGGCAAACCAACUAGAAAAGACUGGGAGGGUGGUGAGUUGGAGAAAUUGGUAUAUGGGCUAUGUACUAGAAGAGAAGACAUUUACUGAAAUGAAAAGGUGGAAAUUUCUGGACACACACCCCUUGAUCACCUUUCCCCCCUCAUUUUAUGUGUAUGGGUGUUUUGCCUGCCUGUGUAUCUAUCUAUGCACUACAUUUAUGCAGUGCCAGUGGGGACCAGAAGAGGGCGCAAAAUCCCCUGGAACUGGAGUUAGAGUCAGUUGUGAGCCUCGAUAUGGGGGCUGGGAAUUGAACCAGGAUCCUCUGGAAGAGCAGCCAGUGGUCUUAACUGUUAAGUCAUCUCUCCAACCCCUUGAUCACAUUUUGGCUAAAUAAACAAACUAACAAACAAAAAAAAGACUUCUAAGUUUAAAAAAAAAUCGAGAACACCUGGGCAUGGUGAUGCACACCUGCAACCCCAGCACUUUGAAGGCAGAGGCAGGAGGAUUGCCACAAGUUUGAGGCCAGCCUGGUCUACAGAGUGGGUGCCAGACUAGCCACUGCUACAUGGUAAGACCUUAUUUCAAAAGCAAAAGAGAGCGGUAGUGGGGAGGUGGUGUUAAUGGUUAAUAGGUAUAGGGCCGGGUUUUUAUUUUUUGUAUUUUUGCUGUUUGUAUUCAUCCCAUUUCCAGAAUGUGCAUGCAUUGCUUCUAUAAUAAAAUGCUAUUUAAUAAGCAAAAUGGAAACAGUAA